rnacentral:rRNA from 1 species
UCAAUAAGCGGAGGAAAAGAAACUAACAAGGAUUCCCCUAGUAACUGCGAGUGAAGCGGGACGAGCUCAAAUUUGUAAUCUGACGGUCUCAGGCCGUCCGAGUUGUAGUCUGGAGAAGCGUCUUCCGUGCUGGACCGUGUACAAGUCCCUUGGAACAGGGCGUCGUAGAGGGUGAGAAUCCCGUCUCUGACACGGAACUGCCAGUACCAUGUGAUGCGCUCUCGAAGAGUCGAGUUGUUUGGGAAUGCAGCUCAAAAUGGGUGGUAAAUUCCAUCUAAAGCUAAAUAUUGGCGAAAGACCGAUAGCGAACAAGUACCGUGAGGGAAAGAUGAAAAGCACUUUGGAAAGAGAGUUAAACAGUACGUGAAAUUGUUGAAAGGGAAACGCUUGGAGUCAGUCGCGUCUUCUGAGACUCAGCCGGGGUACUUCCCCGGUGCACUUCUCAGUGUGAGAUGGGCCAGCAUCGAUUUCGACUGUCGGAGAAAGGCUUUGGGAAUGUGGCACCUUCGGGUGUGUUAUAGCCCUCGGUCGUAUGCGACGCUCGGGAUCGAGGACCGCAGCGUGCCCUUCACCGGGCCGGGGUUCGCCCACGUAACGCGCUUAGGAUGCUGGCGUUAUGGCUCCAA